rnacentral:rRNA from 1 species
GGGUCAAUAGGUUGGUCGUGCCACCGGUACGUACUGGUCUCACUGAUUCCUCCUUCCUGAAGAACCGUAAUGCCAUUAAUUUGGUGUUGCGGGGAAACAGGACUGUUACUUUGAAAAAAUUAGAGUGUUUAAAGCAAGCCAACGCUUGAAUACAUUAGCAUGGAAUAAUGAAAUAGGACGAUCGAUCCUAUUUUGUUGGUUUCUAGGAUUGACGUA